CGCCGCCCUGGCACGGCGGAGGCCCCGGGUUCGAAUCCCGGCGGGUCCAC
rnacentral:rRNA from 1 species